rnacentral:rRNA from 1 species
AAUGAACGUUGGCGGCGUGGAUUAGGCAUGCAAGUCGAGCGUGUACCCCGCAAGGGGGAAAGCGGCAAACGGGGUAGGAACGCGUAGGUGACGUACCCUUCGGUCGGGGAUAGCCACGGGAAACUGUGGGUAAUACCCGAUAACGCCGAGAGGCCAAAGGUGUGAUUCCACCGGAGGAGCGGCCUGCGUAGUAUUAGCCAGUUGGUGAGGUAACGGCUCGCCAAGGCGAAGAUGCUUAGGGGGUGUGAGAGCAUGACCCCCACCACUGGGACUGAGAUACUGCCCAGACACCUACGGGUGGCUGCAGUCGAGAAUCUUCGGCAAUGGGGGCAACCCUGACCGAGCGACGCCGCGUGUGGGAUGAAGGCCCUUGGGUUGUAAACCACUGUCAGAGGGGAGGAAACGCCGGUGAGCAAUCUCACCGGUCUGACCUAGCCUCAGAGGAAGCACGGGCUAAGUUCGUGCCAGCAGCCGCGGUAAUACGAACUGUGCAAACGUUAUUCGGAAUCACUGGGCUUAAAGGGUG